rnacentral:rRNA from 1 species
GACGAACGCUGGCGGCGUGCCUAAUACAUGCAAGUAGAACGCUGAAGAGAGGAGCUUGCUCUUCUUGGAUGAGUUGCGAACGGGUGAGUAACGCGUAGGUAACCUGCCUUGUAGCGGGGGAUAACUAUUGGAAACGAUAGCUAAUACCGCAUAACAAUGGAUGACACAUGUCAUUUAUUUGAAAGGGGCAAUUGUUCCACUACAAGAUGGACCUGCGUUGUAUUAGCUAGUAGGUGAGGUAAUGGCUCACCUAGGCGACGAUACAUAGCCGACCUGAGAGGGUGAUCGGCCACAAUGGGACUGAGACACGGCCCAGACUCCUACGGGAGGCAGCAGGAGGGAAUCUUCGGCAAUGGGGGCAACCCUGACCGAGCAACGCCGCGUGAGUGAAGAAGGUUUUCGGAUCGUAAAGCUCUGUUGUAAGUCAAGAACGGGUGUGAGAGUGGAAAGUUCACACUGUGACGGUAGCUUACCAGAAAGGGACGGCUAACUACGUG